rnacentral:rRNA from 1 species
UACGGGGGGGGCAAGCGUUGUUCGGAAUUACUGGGCGUAAAGCGCGCGUAGGCGGCCACUUAAGUCGGAUGUGAAAGCCCCUGGCUCAACUGGGGAAGUGCACCCGAAACUGAAUGGCUUGAGUGCGAAAGAGGGUCGCGGAAUUCCCGGUGUAGAGGUGAAAUUCGUAGAUAUCGGGAGGAACACCGGUGGCGAAGGCGGCGACCUGGGUCGACACUGACGCUGAGGCGCGAAAGCGUGGGGAGCAAACAGG